rnacentral:rRNA from 1 species
GGGGAAUAUUGGGCAAUGGGCGCAAGCCUGACCCAGCAACGCCGCGUGAGGGAAGAAGGUUUUCAGAUUGUAAACCUCUGUCGCAGAAGACGAAGGAAGUGACGGUAUUCUGUGAGGAAGCCCCGGCUAACUACGUGCCAGCAGCCGCGGUAAUACGUAGGGGGCGAGCGUUGUCCGGAAUUACUGGGCGUAAAGGGAGCGUAGGCGGUCUGAUAAGUUGGAUGUGAAAUACCCGGGCUUAACUUGGGGGGUGCAUCCAAUACUGUUGGACUAGAGUACAGGAGAGGAAAGCGGAAUUCCUAGUGUAGCGGUGAAAUGCAUAGAUAUUAGGAGGAACAUCGGUGGCGAAGGCGGCUUUCUGGACUGCAACUGACGCUGAGGCUCGAAAGCGUGGGGAGCAAAC